rnacentral:rRNA from 1 species
AUUGAACGCUGGCGGCGUGCCUAACACAUGCAAGUCGAUCGGUAGCGCGGGGGCAACCCUGGCGACGAGAGGCGGACGGGUGAGGAACGCUUGGGAAUCUGCCUAUCAGCGGGGGACAACCCGGGGAAACUCGGGCUAAUACCGCAUACGCUCUACGGAGGAAAGCCGGGGACCGCAAGGCCUGGCACUGAUAGAUGAGCCCAAGCCGGAUUAGCUAGUUGGCGGGGUAACGGCCCACCAAGGCGACGAUCCGUAGCUGGUCUGAGAGGACGAUCGGCCACACCGGAACUGAGACACGGUCCGGACUCCUACGGGAGGCAGCAGUGGGGAAUAUUGGACAAUGGGCGAAAGCCUGAUCCAGCGACGCCGCGUGGGUGAAGAAGGCCUGCGGGUUGUAAAGCCCUUUCGGUAGGGACGAAAGCUCUUGCCUUAAUACGGCAGGAGGUUGACUUAACCUACAUAAGAAGCACCGGCUAACUCUGUGCCAGCCGCCGCCGUAA